UCAAGGCUGCUCUCUAUCAAUACCUCGACAUUGGUGGAUGGACGAAACGCAGAAAUUGAUCGGCACGACGAUGGCGCAAAUUGAUCCUACCUCUGUUCGCUAAGGCACAGCUUCUUUCCCACACGUACACACCGUGUAUGCAUUCUACAACCACGGAUAGAAUCCGUGUCUCGCGCUCCCUUUCGUGUGGCGCGUUGUCCUCGGGACCGGAGUUCACAACGCUCGCGACCCAUAUAUGGUCACUCGCUGUAUAAUUCAUCGGCACAGACACAAGUACGAGCAGGUUGAAAGUGCUCGGAUGUUUCCAAGACGAAAGACCAGGAACCCAAAAUAGUCGAGUCCAAGACGCCUAUCCCAUCGAGCGGGUUCGGAAUACGAAACGCACUAUAAAGUGAACCCGUUCUUUUAAUUAUCCCAAGCCGAUGGCAGCCUCGAGGAGGCUGAAGAACCUCGGCGUCCGAAGACAAGGGCGAUGGGAGAAGGGUGAGAACAUUCAGGCGUGAAGCGAUGGACCGUAUCGAUUAAUUUUCGUAGACCACAGGUAAUUGAGCGAACAGCCAGCCUUACGUCCAGGUUUCCUCGUCUUCGAAGGGACCCCAGAUCUAACCAUAACUCCGCCUCAUCCUCACCAACAAUGAGGUCUCCAAGGAUCGGGCAGGUCCUUGCACCUACGGCGACUUCGAUUCUUGUUUGAAACGAUUCGUUGGAAAGUUUGACCACGGGUAAGUAUACAUAAUAUGAGACAUCUUUGAUCGGUGCGCCUUAGGGAUCCGGCUUUCCGGAAGAGUUUUUCCAUUAAUCACGGUCGUUUUAAUCGAUUUCGACUGAAACGCGAGUGAAAUUACCGCCUGCGGUAAGCAGCGCGUCCAACAACCCCGUGGGAAUGCUAUGCCCGAUUCACCCGGCUCUUCAUCGCGUCCGGUAAUUCAGGAGUAAUGUUGGCAAGCAAACGUCAUGUACCUACAACGUAAUUUAUACAAGAAGUUCGCAGUACACUGAAAUUGGUUGAGGAAACACUUUGUUGGGCUUUGUUGGGACGAAUGAUUAAAGGUCCACAGUCAAACCUAAACUUUACCAAUAAAACGAACUUUCUUUCACAAAAUACUAGCUAUGCACUUAAUUCAACGUUCAACAAAUCGACCGAUUACUUAGCAAAGUGUUUGGCAACAGUUUUUCACAAAAGCUUGCAGGAUCCCGUUCUAAAUAUAAAAAAUAUCCAAAUUCAUAUGAAAGCACAACGGUUCAUUACGCAGCUACGCUUGUCUGCAACGAACAGUGGAAGGUUAAUUACUUACGGUUCUCGUUUAGUCGGACAACUUCUGCGCCCC